CCCUUAGACGCUCUAGGCGGCACGCGCGCUACAAUGGGUGGUAGAACGUGUAACUGCUCCCGAAAGGGAGGGUGAACCACGAAUACUUACCCGUGAAUGGGAUAGUUUGUUGCAAUGUUCGGACUUGAACUAGGAAUCCCUUGUAAGAAUGCUCAAGAAUAGCGUGCUGAAUACGUCCCUGCCGUUUGUACACACCGCCCGUCGUUUCUUCCGACUGAUACUCAUUGUGAGUUGCAAGGAUUCUUAUUGAAAAAUUGCUGCGAAUGCUUUGUAUUGGAGGAAGAAAAAGUCGUAACA
rnacentral:rRNA from 1 species